rnacentral:piRNA from 1 species
UGAUUUCAUCUGCUAAACCUGCUGCAG